GUUUGAUCCUGGCUCAGAGCGAACGUUAGCGGCAGGCUUAACACAUGCAAGUCGAGCGACAAAGGGGCUUCGGCCCUGAGUAGAGCGGCGGACGGGUGCGUAACACGUGGAUAAUCUGCCUCGUGGCGGGGGAUAACAGUCCGAAAGGACUGCUAAUACCGCAUGUCAGGUCGGAAACCCCGGUUUCUGACGAAAAAGAGGGCGCCCGCAAGGGGCUCUCACCACGAGAUGAGUCCGCGGCCCAUCAGCUAGUUGGCGGUGUAAUAGACCACCAAGGCUAAGACGGGUAGCUGGUCUGAGAGGAUGACCAGCCACACUGGGACUGAGACACGGCCCAGACUCCUACGGGAGGCAGCAGUGGGGAAUAUUGGACAAUGGGCGAAAGCCUGAUCCAGCCAUGCCGCGUGAGUGAUGAAGGUCUUCGGAUCGUAAAGCUCUGUGGGAAGGGACG
rnacentral:rRNA from 1 species